rnacentral:misc_RNA from 1 species
AAGACGAUUACUGUAGUAUGAACUCCAAGGCUGAGGCUCCAAAAUAAAGACACCACCCGGUGAAAGAAGCCUCCAGACUUUUGAAAAUAAAGUUAUAAGUCCCUCAUCACCCCAGUUUAAUUGCACCCAUUUUGACACACUUAAACAAAUAAUCGUAUCAUAAGAUGUAUUUUCCCCUAGAUGCCAAUUCUGAACAAAAUUUCCCUUCCUGAAAGAGACUAUGUCAAACAAAUUUGCCUCUUGCACAUGAUGAGAUUCUGUACAAUCAAUGUUUGCAGGCUUCUUAGGUGACUCAGCCUCAUGGUUUUCAAUACCAGUAACAUUCUUU